CCAGACUCCUACGGGAGGCAGCAGUGGGGAAUAUUGCACAAUGGGGGAAACCCUGAUGCAGCAACGCCGCGUGGGUGAAGGAGCGUUUCGGCGCGUAAAGCCCUGUCAGCGGGGAAGAAGAAAGACGGUACCCGACCAAGAAGCCCCGGCUAACUACGUGCCAGCAGCCGCGGUAAUACGUAGGGGGCGAGCGUUAUCCGGAAUUACUGGGUGUAAAGGGAGCGUAGACGGCGAGGUAAGCCUGAAGUGGAAGCCCGCGGCCCAACCGCGGAACUGCUUUGGGAACUGUUUUGCUGGAGUAUGGGAGGGGUAAGCGGAAUUCCUGGUGUAGCGGUGAAAUGCGUAGAUAUCAGGAGGAACACCGGUGGCGAAGGCGGCUUACUGGACCAUAACUGACGUUGAGGCUCGAAAGCGUGGGGAGCGAACAGGAUUAGAUACCCCAGUA
rnacentral:rRNA from 1 species